rnacentral:rRNA from 1 species
GAGAGUUUGAUCCUGGCUCAGGAUGAACGCUGGCGGCGUGCCUAAUACAUGCAAGUCGAGCGAAUGGAUUAAGAGCUUGCUCUUAUGAAGUUAGCGGCGGACGGGUGAGUAACACGUGGGUAACCUGCCCAUAAGACUGGGAUAACUCCGGGAAACCGGGGCUAAUACCGGAUAACAUUUUGAACCGCAUGGUUCGAAAUUGAAAGGUGGCUUCGGCUGUCACUUAUGGAUGGACCCGCGUCGCAUUAGCUAGUUGGUGAGGUAACGGCUCACCAAGGCAACGAUGCGUAGCCGACCUGAGAGGG